GGGAGAAAGGAGGUCGAGGAGGAGGUGGUCGGUCGCCCCGCUGCUGCCUGGCAGCGCCUGGCACGGCUGAAUCUCAGCCACAGCGCUGUGUGUGCCAAGAGCUGCCAGGCGUAAGUCCGGUCAGCUGGAGAGACUUCUGAGACCGGGAGAGGAAGAACAGCCUGAUGCCUAUGGGCUCCUUUGGCUGUAUUCCCACCCAGCAGAUUGAAUCUCCUUGGAUAGCCAUACCUGCUGGAAUCAGCCCAACUUCAUCACGCAUCUUUGGACUCUGUAUGCUGGACUGCGAGAGAGUUCCCUCAUGAAAUCACCCAACAGCUGGGCUUUGUCUUCCAGUAGAGGAAAAAUUUAAGGAACAGCUGAAAUCUGUUGCUUAUCAUCAUAUUUUCCAGAGAAUGGAGCAACCCCACUUGUCAUCUGUUCACUCAGUAUCCAUCUAUGCUGUUGGUUCUGUAAGAUUUCCCUUGAGAUUAAAAUGUUGAAAGACAGCUUCAUUCUUUCCGUGCUCCAGUCCUUUUCAUAACACCUGCUCCAUAAAUGCACAUCACUCAAGUGGAAUUGUAUUUUGUGUAAAUCUGGUUUGAUAAACUGUAAAAAUGGCAAAACAUACAUUUAAAGAAGUUGGCAUUCAUAUAUCAUGCUGGGUACUUCUUUAAAAAAUAAUUCUAAACUAUGGCAUAUCAUUAAGAGGAGAAGGAUAGAACUGCCAGAGAGAAAAGGCCUUCAGUCCAGAUGAAGUUAUGACUUUGUGCAGUGAGUUCCUUCCUCUGGAAAGAAGUAUUAGCUGCAAUAAUCUGGCCACAUUCCAAGUUGGUCAAUGGUAUGCUGCCUCCCUAAAUUCUGCAGCUUCGAUUACAUUCAUUGUCCUAGUGCACUUCCUGUCAGGAAUGGUCGCAUUGAUCUGCCAGUUAAAACAGCUGUUGCUUCUGAUGCAUGAGAAACUACUAAAGUCAGUCUCUUAUCCAUCACCGAUGUAGGAGUUAGAAAUUGAAAGCCCAGUGACCAGGAGAGACAGAGGUAGAGAGAGAGAGAGAGAG
rnacentral:lncRNA from 1 species